rnacentral:rRNA from 1 species
AUGGAGGAGGAGAAGGAAGAACAUGAUAUGGAGGAAGAGGGAGAGGAGGUGAAGGGCAAAGGAGAGGAGAUGGUGGAGGAGGAGGAGGAGGAGGAGGAGGGAGAGGAGAUGGUGGAGGAGGAGGAGGAGGAGGGAGAGGAGAUGGUGGAGGAGGAGGAGAAGGGAGAGGAGCAGGAAGAGUGGGAGCAGCCUGAUGGCAACGCGGUGCACGGUGGCGUCAUGGUGCCCCUCCAACCCCAAGUGGAGGAGGAGCACCAUGUGGUCGAGGCGCAACUCGUCGUCGGGCACGCCGACGCCAUGGCCAUCGCCAACCCGCAGGAGGUGAUGGAGUACCGCAUUGCCAAUGCGGAACAUGUCCGCAAGCGUCGUGCAUGUCUUACCUCGGUCUUCGUCUGCCUCUAUGACACUGACGACGACGGCAAUGAUAAGCCAACAGUGAAGAUGCUGAGGGGCAGCCACAAUGGCGAGGCAUCGGCCUCCGGCACCGCAUCGGUCAUCUACAACCUCCCCUCCGACGAGGAGGCUUAG